GGGGAUGUAGCUCAGUGGGAGAGCACUUGCCUAGCAUGCAUGAGUACCUGGGUUUGACCACAGUACCCCA
rnacentral:tRNA from 1 species